rnacentral:lncRNA from 1 species
AUAGGUUAAGAAAUGGAGGGAGGAGAAUCAAGGUUUUAAGGGUCAGAGAGCUAGCUUCAUGCUUCAAAAAGACAGAGAAUUGGGAUUUUUUUUCUUCAUAGGGUUUUUGGAAAGACUGAGGCAAUCGUUGCUGAAAGUUAGUGUUAUAUUGGUGAACUGGAUUUUUUUUUCCAAAAGAGAGAAAAAGCUGGUACUCUUGAUU